AACGAACGCUGGUGGUAUGCUUAACACAUGCAAGUCGAACGAAUUUAUAUAGCUUGCUAUAUAAGUUAGUGGCAAACGGGUGAGUAAUAUAUAGGAAUCUACCUAAUAGUAUGGAAUAACUCCGGGAAACUGGGGCUAAUACCAUAUAAUACCGAUUUAUCGGGAAAGAUUUAUCGCUAUUAGAUGAGCCUGUAUCAGAUUAGCUAGUUGGUAGGGUAAAGGCCUACCAAGGCUAUGAUCUGUAGCUGGUCUGAGAGGAUGAUCAGCCACACUGGGACUGCGACACGGCCCAGACUCCUACGGGAGGCAGCAGUGGGGAAUAUUGGACAAUGGGCGAAAGCCUGAUCCAGCAAUACCACGUGAAUGAUGAAGGCCUUAGGGUUGUAAAAUUCUUUUAGCAGGAAAGAUAAUGACGGUACCUGCAGAAAAAGCACCGGCUAACUUCG
rnacentral:rRNA from 1 species